rfam:Beta vulgaris subsp. vulgaris Bvchr8.sca001.con0025.1, whole genome shotgun sequence.
UGGCGAAUGACAGUGCAAUUCUCCUUUGGCACACUAUCCAUGCUCAAUUGCUCAUGCAUACUUCUAUUGUGCCAAAGGAGAAUUGCCCUGUAAUUCACUA